ensembl:lncRNA ZNF702P zinc finger protein 702, pseudogene
GAAACAGAUCGCGCGGAGUGAACCUGGUAUGGCGGCGCGUGGAUUUCCCUCUGUCUAUUAUUAAGAUUAAACUUGGGCUUCGCAGUCCUCUCACCUCCAUACCCCGGAUUUGGAGGUUCGUACACGCCUGAAAAUUCUCAUACCGCUCCCCUCACUGCUAGUAAGUCACACAUCGCUAUGAGACUCUUGGGGUCGUUUCAGUGAUUUGGGGUAAAAUCAUUCUGAGGCUGGUUCCGUCGCCGGUGUUUCUGCCUUCAGGUCAUGUAGACAUGUUCUUUCCUUAAAUUUUUCCGUUCGAAACCCUGUACUGACCCCUCAUCCUGCCCCGCACUUUUUCAAGUCCUCACCCGCGAGGUGGAGUCGCGUCCUGGGCGCCUCCCAGCCUCGCCCUCGUCGGCCCCGCAGCCCCAGUCCCAGGGAGGCUGCGUCCUCUGCCUGGCGGGAUCCUGCAGACCCCACCCCUAUCCUAAGGCGCCUUCGCCCCCACCUCCCUCCAACUCUUGCUGGGCCCUGCUGCUCCCCAGGCCUCUCGUUUGCAGUCCCCGCUUCCCCUGAGCCCGCGUUAGGGAGGUGCCCAGGGCCUGUCCUGUGACACCUGGUGUUCUUGCCUUCCCAGCUCCACCCCCUGGAAAAAUGUGCUCCUGCGGGAUGCAGGUGUCUUACCCUAAACCCUCCUGUGAAUGUGUGGGCCAAGGGGAUCUGGAAACAGGGACUGCGAGAGAAGUAGACAAACUGAGACAGAGAAUGAGGGAAACCCAUAAACAGAUGGCAAAAUGGAGGAUGCGUGGGGGAUUCGCGAAGAGACAGGAAGAGUCAAAGAAGAAGCUGAGAAAGUAACAGGAUGGGGAAACAACUGGAGAAAUGUAGAGAAAAGCUCCAUGUCCAGAAAGGUGAAGGACAGCAAGGUAGGGAGAGGGGCAGCAGAGGGGAGGCUCCUCAGACAGAGAGUGAGGGAGAGGAGGAGGGAUUUGGAGCCACGGCAGGCAGCAGCGUGGUGCUGGGACAGCAAGAAGGGGCAACUGGUGACAAGGAGAGCAGAAGAAGAACCACAGCAGGGUGCUCAGGGAUUAUUGGUUCAAAUUCAUUAAAAGCUAUAGGCCUGUUCA